rnacentral:sRNA from 1 species
UCAGAAAUAUUUAGCAACAGCCGGCCUU